CCCAGCUGUUCACACUUCCUAUAAACUCAGAUCCAGUACCAACACUUUACUUAGUCUACCUCAAUACAAAAAGAAAACGGCCCGAUCCUCCUUCUCCUACAGAGCACCGCAAUUGUGGAACGACCUCCCGCACAAUUUAAAAUCUUCCCUAAGCCUAAAGUCCUUUAAGAGAUCCCUCUCUACAUACCUCAAAACAGAAUGCACCUGUCAUGGUUGAUUAUAUAUUUCCUACCUGUUCCAUGUUAAAUUUUGUAUUUAUUGUGUAUUAAUAUUGUUUUUGUAUUUUAUUGUAC